rnacentral:piRNA from 1 species
UGAAUUAGCAAUGCCAAGAGAGGC